GCCCGGCAGUACUCUGCCGGGCAUGCCUGUUCGAGCGUCAUU
rnacentral:rRNA from 1 species